rnacentral:rRNA from 1 species
CCAGACUCCUACGGGAGGCAGCAGUGAGGAAUAUUGGUCAAUGGGCUUACGCCUGAACCAGCCAAGUCGCGUGAGGGAAGACGGCCCUACGGGUUGUAAGCCUCUUUUGUCGGGGAGCAAAGCGAGUCACGUGUGACUCAUUGAGAGUACCCGAAGAAAAAGCAUCGGCUAACUCCGUGCCAGCAGCCGCGGUAAUACGGAGGAUGCGAGCGUUAUCCGGAUUUAUUGGGUUUAAAGGGUGCGUAGGCGGGAUGCCAAGUCAGCGGUAAAAAUGCGGUGCUCAACGCCGUCGAGCCGUUGAAACUGGCGUUCUUGAGUGGGCGAGAAGUAUGCGGAAUGCGUGGUGUAGCGGUGAAAUGCAUAGAUAUCACGCAGAACUCCGAUUGCGAAGGCAGCAUACCGGCGCGCAACUGACGCUCAUGCACGAAAGCGUGGGUAUCGAACAGGAUUAGAUACCCUAGUA